CAACAACAACAUCAACAACAACAUCAAAUGUGAUUUUAAAUAAUUAUUUCUUUUAAUAAAAUAAUAACCACUUUUAUUAAGUUGUGGCAACAGAUUGUACGUCUGUUGCAUCAGAUAACCCAUCUAUUACAACAGAUAUACCAUCUGUUGCAAUAAAUUGACCAUCUGUUGAAAGAGAUUUUUUAUUUCUUCUAAUAGCUGAUUCAUCUGUUGAAAG
rnacentral:lncRNA from 1 species